CAGUCGCCGCGGUAAUACGAAGGGUGCAAGCGUUAAUCGGAAUUACUGGGCGUAAAGCGUGCGUAGGCGGUUUGUUAAGUCUGCUGUGAAAUCCCCGGGCUCAACCUGGGAAUGGCAGUGGAUACUGGCAAGCUAGAGUGUGUCAGAGGAUGGUGGAAUUCCCGGUGUAGCGGUGAAAUGCGUAGAGAUCGGGAGGAACAUCAGUGGCGAAGGCGGCCAUCUGGGACAACACUGACGCUGAGGCACGAAAGCGUGGGGAGCAAACAGGAUUAGAUACCCGCGUAGUCCCUGUCUCUUAUAA
rnacentral:rRNA from 1 species